rnacentral:rRNA from 1 species
AUUGAACGCUGGCGGCAUGCCUUACACAUGCAAGUCGAACGGCAGCGGGGGAGAAGCUUGCUUUUCCUGCCGGCGAGUGGCGAACGGGUGAGUAAUACAUCGGAACGUGCCCUGUAGUGGGGGAUAACUAGUCGAAAGAUUAGCUAAUACCGCAUACGACCUGAGGGUGAAAGUGGGGGACCGCAAGGCCUCAUGCUAUAGGAGCGGCCGAUGUCUGAUUAGCUAGUUGGUGGGGUAAGGCCUACCAAGGCGACGAUCAGUAGCGGGUCUGAAAGGACGAUCGGACACGCGGGAGGUGAGACACGGCACAGACUCCUACGGGAGGGAGCAGUGGGGAAUUUUGGAGAAGGGGCGAAAGCCUGAUACAGCAAUGCCGCGUGUGUGAAGAAGGCCUUCGGGUUGUAAAGCACUUUUGUCCGGAAAGAAAUGGCUCUGGUUAAGACCUGGGGUCGAUGACGGUACCGGAAGAAUAAGGACCGGCUAACUACGUGCCAGCCGCCGCAGUAA